ensembl:lncRNA
AUGCUUUUUUAUUUAUCCAUAUUAUCAAUGAUGUCCAACACAUUUUUCUUUAGUGAGAUUCAGGAUAUGGGUCAAACCUACAGUGGAAUCUCUUCUGUACCAGUUGAUGUCACUGAGAUCCCUCUUGAUGUUGAAGAAGCAGCCUAUUCUGUGAUAGAUAAUUGGAGAGGAUUGAGACCAUCACUUACACAAAGACAAUCUGGACCCAUGGAUUCACAACAUGUGUCAGUCAUGGGAUCGGAUGUGCAUCACUCUCAAAAAGAUCCUACAGGAGAGGAGGCAAAAUGCAGUUCACUACAAACUACAGCGAUAAGACCAGAAACACAAGUUGAAAAUGCCACCUAUGCCCAAGUGAUCAAAACCAAGAAGAAAGGAAAUGAGCCUGUGUACAGUCUUCUGAUGAAAAAAUAGAGGACAUUGUGCUACUGUCAACUUUGUCAUUCCAGUUUAUAAAAUAGUAUUCAGUGUGCCUUGAAAGGAUGUAAACACCUUGUGCAAUUAUAGCUCUUUAGUUUUCAACCGUGAAAUGUUUAAUUGAUGAGAACCUUUUUUCAUCUGACAAAACAGCUUUAUAGUUACCUAUUGCAUUUGUUGGUUUAUAGGAAAUCAUGCAUUUAGUAGAUAAAUAAAAUACAAAAUUAAUUAAUGUAGAUGCAAAAAUAAAUAAAGCUCAAUCUGAAGUGGUUAAAUCCAGUAGGUAAGUAGAAUCAGGUCUGUAAUUAAUUGGGUAACAAAUGAACCCAUCGAAGUAGGGAUCUGUAGGAAAGAGUUUAAGUGGGACAUGCAACCUGGUCAGUUUGGUGUUACCCAUACAGGUAAAUGCAAAAAAACACCAUGCCAAAGUAAAGGAGUUCUCUGCGAACAUCAAGAAGAGGGUAAUGUGAGCAAAUCAGUCUGAGGAAAGCUAUACAACCAUCUAAAAAGGUAUGCUCCAGUAGUCCACUGUGAAGCAAUCAUUUACAGAUGGAAAGCAAUUAACAUCACCGCAACUCAGCUUAGAAGUGGAUGUCCUUCCAAAAUAUCCCCUAGAGCCCCUGGUCAACUGCACGUCAUCAACUUUAUAAUGAAUUCUGAGGUUUCCCAGGAGUUUCUUGAACAGAAUGUAAGGCCAUCAGUCAAUAAUGGAUGGCCUUACAAGACAAUGACGAAACUAUUUGUGUUUUGGAUUGGCCAAACCAUAGUUCUAACCGUAAUCCAAUUCCAAUGGUUUGGCAGGAUUUGAAGCGUGCAGUAAAUGCCAGACAACCCUCAAACCUCACCCAAUUGGUGGAGAUCCAUAAAGAGGAGUGACCAAAAAUCUUUACCAGAGACAUUAAAUCAAAGUUAUCACUGCUAAUUGAGGUGACAAAAGCUAUUAAAUUAAGGGGUUUCACAUAUUUUUGUACACAUUAAAUCACUUUUGUAAAAUGAACAAUGAACAUAUAUGCUUUUGUUUGUGUCCUUUAUUUGUCUUUAUUACAAAUUAGGGUUUCACAAAGGUUUUUGGGAGUUUAUUUUAAUAUGUUAUACCAAAAUAAUGACCAUAUUGUAAAUAAAUGUUACCAUUGCAUUUUACCGUUAUUUACUUUACAUUUGACAUAUAUUUUUCAGAAUGACAGUAAAAUUUUGUUUUAAAUAAGAAAUAAAACCUUCAUCUAAUAUUUGUCCUGUAAAUCAACCGGAAAAGUCUGUUAUGAGUAAACCCAAGAAGUUUCUCUUUUUCCACAGAAUUUGAUUUGCUGUUUACAAAAAUAGACUGCAUAAAUAAGGAGUAUUUCCUUUUUAUUAUCAGCUGUGUCUCCCCAUCCACCCUAAAGCACUGUUCAGAUCAGCUUUCUGCUGUGGUUACAAAUAUCUUCAACACCUCACUGGAGACAUGCCGCAUCCUGGCCUGUUCCAAGUCCUCCAUCAUUAUCCCAGGCCCCAAGAAGCCAAUGAUCACAGGACUUAACAACAACAGACCUGACCUCUAUGGUUAUGAAUACAUGGGAAUCCCUUGUGCUGUCCCACCUCAAGACCAUCAUCGACCCAUUACUAGACCCACUGCAGUUUGCCUACAGAGCCAACAGGUCUGUAGACGACGGGGUCAACAUGGCUCUUCACUUCAUCCUCCAACAUCUGUACUCCCCAGGAACUUAUGCCAGAAUCCUGAUUGUGGACUUCAGUUCCGCAUUUAACACCAUAAUUCAAGCUUUGCUCCAGGAUAAGCUGUCCCAAACGGGGAUUGCCGGAGUCCACAAGCAGGUGGAUCACAGCCCU